AUUGAACGCUGGCGGCAGGCCUAACACAUGCAAGUCGAACGAGUGGCGGACGGGUGCGUAAUGUCUGGGAAACUGCCCGAUGGCGGGGGAUAACUACUGGAAACGGUAGCUAAUACCGCAUACCAUCGGAUUUGCCCAGAUGGGAAUAGCUUGUAGGGGAGGUAACGGCUCACCUAGGCGACGAACCCUAGCUGGUCUGAGAGGGUGACCGGCCACACUGGAACUGAGACACGGUCCAGACUCCUACGGGAGGCAGCAGUGGGGAAUAUGGGACAAUGGGCGAAAGCCUGAUGGAGCCAUGCCGCGUGUAUGAAGAAGGCCUUCGGAUUGUAAAGUACUUUCAGUUGGGAGGCGUUACCAACAGAAUAAGCACCGGCUAACUUCGUGCCAGCAGCCGCGGUAAUAC
rnacentral:rRNA from 1 species